rnacentral:rRNA from 1 species
GAAGGGGGCUAGCGUUGCUCGGAAUCACUGGGCGUAAAGGGUGCGUAGGCGGGUCUUUAAGUCAGAGGUGAAAGCCUGGAGCUCAACUCCAGAACUGCCUUUGAUACUGAGGAUCUUGAGUAUGGGAGAGGUGAGUGGAACUGCGAGUGUAGAGGUGAAAUUCGUAGAUAUUCGCAAGAACACCAGUGGCGAAGGCGGCUCACUGGCCCAUAACUGACGCUGAGGCACGAAAGCGUGGGGAGCAAACAGGAUUAGAUACCAUGGUAGUCCCACGCCCGUAAACGAUGAAUGCCAGCCCGUUAGUGGGUUUACUCACUAGUGGCGCAGCUAACGCUUAAGCAUUCCGCCUGGGAGUCGGUCGCAAGAUUA